AUUAGACGAAUCAUCUGGAAAGAUGAAUCAAAGAAGGUAAUAAUCCUGUAGUCGAAAAUGUUGUCUCUCUUGAGUGGAUCCUGAGUACGACGGAGCACGUGAAAUUCCGUCGGAAUCUGGGAGGACCAUCUCCUAAGGCUAAAUACUCUCUAGUGACCGAUAGUGAACCAGUACCGUGAGGGAAAGGUGAAAAGCACCCCGGAAGGGGAGUGAAAUAGAACCUGAAACCGUGUGCUUACAAGUAGUCAGAGCCCGUUAAUGGGUGAUGGCGUGCCUUUUGUAGAAUGAACCGGCGAGUUACGAUUUGAUGCAAGGUUAAGCAGUAAAUGUGGAGCCGUAGCGAAAGCGAGUCUGAAUAGGGCGUUUAGUAUUUGGUCGUAGACCCGAAACCAGGUGAUCUACCCUUGGUCAGGUUGAAGUUCAGGUAACACUGAAUGGAGGACCGAACCGACUUACGUUGAAAAGUGAGCGGAUGAACUGAGGGUAGCGGAGAAAUUCCAAUCGAACCUGGAGAUAGCUGGUUCUCUCCGAAAUAGCUUUAGGGCUAGCCUCAAGUGAUGAUUAUUGGAGGUAGAGCACUGUUUGGACGAGGGGCCCCUCUCGGGUUACCGAAUUCAGACAAACUCCGAAUGCCAAUUAAUUUAACUUGGGAGUCAGAACAUGGGUGAUAAGGUCCGUGUUCGAAAGGGAAACAGCCCAGACCACCAGCUAAGGUCCCAAAAUAUAUGUUAAGUGGAAAAGGAUGUGGCGUUGCCCAGACAACUAGGAUGUUGGCUUAGAAGCAGCCAUCAUUUAAAGAGUGCGUAAUAGCUCACUAGUCGAGUGACACUGCGCC
rnacentral:rRNA from 1 species